rnacentral:lncRNA from 1 species
CUUCUAAUGAGUAAAAUGAAUUUGUACAUGGAAAAUUUCUUUGCUACUCCGGAGUGUCUACACUGAAAAUUUGAUACCAUUGUACACUGAAAAUCAGGAGUACAAAUUUGCCUGCUUGAUCUUGCUCCUUGCUUGCUUGCUGUUGGAACAAAUCAGGAGUAGUAUCGAACUUCAAUAAAAUUGUUGAUCUUGUAAACUGUUGGAGUACUCCUGUUUGCUUGUUGCGCACCUACAAAAAGAAAAUGAAGAAAAAAUUAAAUUAAUCUUGCUUGCUGGAAACUUUGCUUUAAUAUAUACAUUCUUGCUAGUAGUACAAUGCUCCUACUACAAGUACAAUACUCCUUGCUUGUUCUAUUCCCGAAACUUGCUGUACUACAGGCCUACUUAUGUUCCAGAAGGCACUCUAAUGUUCAUCUAGCAAAACUUAUAGUUAUAAGUUAUUCUGAAGGCACUCUAAUAUUCAUCUCUUUUUGUUUCAUCGGGUUCUCAAGCACCAAAAGAAGCAACAAUAAACAAGCUGGAGGGAUAACUUUCUCUUGGAUUCUCAAAGAUAGAUGAUCAUGACACCAAAAGAUGGAUAUAUCUAUAUGCGAAAUUAUAACUGAUCUUGAGCUAUUCCAGAAGUACUUGUGUUGUGUUAUCUUUGCUGCAAAAUUAUGUUGGGGCUGUGAUGAACUGUUGUCGCUGCGAAAGAUCAUGUUGUCAUGAUAAAUUAUGAUUCCUGGGAUUUGGGUUUCGAAGUCAUGUUGUUAUGAUAAAUUAUGAUGUUGUGAUGAUAUAUUGAUUUCGAGUCAUGCAAAAUUAUGUUGCUGCUGGGAAAAACUACAACUAAAUUAUUCCCCUGUAGCAACUUUUCUCAUUUUUAUUAGGUGGCCUUUACAAUUCUGUAGCAAGGAUAUAAGGGAGUUAGUUACAUUGUAAAGAUUGGAUUUUUAGAUGUUCUAUACCAUAUUAUGUCAAUUUGGCAAACCCUGCCUAUCAAACAGAAAUUUUAAACGAAGAGGAUUGGGGAUGGAGGGGUUUUGGGGAUUCAAGGGGUUUUGAGGGGAUUGGGUGGAAGGGAGGGAUUCACCAAAUCCUCCCAAAUCCCCUCCUCCGUAAUCCUCCCAGAUCCCUUUGUGCCAAACGAGGCCUUAUGAGGAACACGGUUUUGGAUAAAUUUAUAUCACAUAGGACAGUUGCAUAUGAGAACUUCAUGGUCUGGAGCAGGUCAUCUCUGGAGCCUGGGGUUUCUGCUGGGGAGGGGGAUGAGAUGCUGGGAGGCAUCAAGUUGCCAGUACCGAGGGUGGAGGCGACCCGGGAGAACUCGUCAAUGCAGUUUGCACUUUUUUACUGUCAUACUAAUGCUGACGAGUCUUGGUAAUAUGUUUUCAGGGCUGAGAUGCAUAACAUAAGCAUACAUGAAAGAGUGUCACCUCUCUUACGGCCAGGGUAGGCCUCAACGCUCCAUCCGUGAUAGGAAAUAUAGACGGAUGAAACCCCAUUAAAAAAGUAGCAGUCCACACAACAUGUAACUGCCCAACAUCAUCACAACGUCACAAAACCAGUGAUUGCACAAUAACUUGACGAGAUGUUACCAAUCUUUCUUUUUACGGGACACAGAGCAUGAGAGCAAUAUUCUGUUUCAGCAAACCAGCC